rnacentral:misc_RNA from 1 species
ACGGCAAGAACGAAGCUUGAGGCGCGUGAGAUUCCGGCACCGAAAUGAAAUCGCUUCAAGCGCUUCAUCGCCGAUGCUUGCGGAUCUGCGGUCACAUUUGAGUGCGAGUUUUGUCACAGCGUCGAAGCGAGAGAAGAGAGCAUGUACCAUUGGGAGGAGACCUGAUUGGGCGUUGAGAGAUAGCCGGUGACGGCUCUGACCCUCGAUUCUCAGCCAUCGGCGGCACACCAAAGAGCAACGUUUGCGAUCGCCGGAGCUAAGCGACUGGAAAAUGCAAGCCAAGCACUCGUCAGGUAGAUCGGAUAUGUAGUCCGGUUCUCCAUCGUUACUAAGAAAGUCGCUUGGUUCUUCAGCUUGCAUAGGGGAGAUCAGAGCCGUUG